rnacentral:rRNA from 1 species
GAUGAACGCUGGCGGCGUGCUUAACGCAUGCAAGUCGAACGGUGAAGGCGGAGCUUGCUCUGCUGGAUCAGUGGCGAACGGGUGAGUAACACGUGAGCAAUCUGCCCCUGACUCUGGGAUAAGCGCUGGAAACGGCGUCUAAUACUGGAUACGAGCUGCGAAGGCAUCUUCAGCAGCUGGAAAGAACUUCGGUCAGGGAUGAGCUCGCGGCCUAUCAGCUUGUUGGUGAGGUAACGGCUCACCAAGGCGUCGACGGGUAGCCGGCCUGAGAGGGUGACCGGCCACACUGGGACUGAGACACGGCCCAGACUCCUACGGGAGGCAGCAGUGGGGAAUAUUGCACAAUGGGCGAAAGCCUGAUGCAGCAACGCCGCGUGAGGGACGACGGCCUUCGGGUUGUAAACCUCUUUUAGCAGGGAAGAAGCGAAAGUGACGGUACCUGCAGAAAAAGCGCCGGCUAACUACGUG